UGGAGCUGAAGUCAGUCGAAGAUACCAGCUGGCUGCAACUGUUUAUUAAAAACACAGCACUGUGCAAACACGAAAGUGGACGUAUACGGUGUGACGCCUGCCCGGUGCCGGAAGGUUAAUUGAUGGGGUCAGCGCAAGCGAAGCUCCUGAUCGAAGCCCCGGUAAACGGCGGCCGUAACUAUAACGGUCCUAAGGUAGCGAAAUUCCUUGUCGGGUAAGUUCCGACCUGCACGAAUGGCGUAAUGAUGGCCAGGCUGUCUCCACCCGAGACUCAGUGAAAUUGAACUCGCUGUGAAGAUGCAGUGUACCCGCGGCAAGACGGAAAGACCCCGUGAACCUUUACUAUAGCUUGACACUGAACAUUGAGCCUUGAUGUGUAGGAUAGGUGGGAGGCUUUGAAGUGUGGACGCCAGUCUGCAUGGAGCCGACCUUGAAAUACCACCCUUUAAUGUUUGAUGUUCUAACGUGGACCCGUAAUCCGGGUUGCGGACAGUGUCUGGUGGGUAGUUUGACUGGGGCGGUCUCCUCCUAAAGAGUAACGGAGGAGCACGAAGGUUGGCUAAUCCUGGUCGGACAUCAGGAGGUUAGUGCAAUGGCAUAAGCCAGCUUGACUGCGAGCGUGACGGCGCGAGCAGGUGCGAAAGCAGGUCAUAGUGAUCCGGUGGUUCUGAAUGGAAGGGCCAUCGCUCAACGGAUAAAAGGUACUCCGGGGAUAACAGGCUGAUACCGCCCAAGAGUUCAUAUCGACGGCGGUGUUUGGCACCUCGAUGUCGGCUCAUCACAUCCUGGGGCUGAAGUAGGUCCCAAGGGUAUGGCUGUUCGCCAUUUAAAGUGGUACGCGAGCUGGGUUUAGAACGUCGUGAGACAGUUCGGUCCCUAUCUGCCGUGGGCGCUGGAGAACUGAGGGGGGCUGCUCCUAGUACGAGAGGACCGGAGUGGACGCAUCACUGGUGUUCGGGUUGUCAUGCCAAUGGCACUGCCCGGUAGCUAAAUGCGGAAGAGAUAAGUGCUGAAAGCAUCUAAGCACGAAACUUGCCCCGAGAUGAGUUCUCCCUGAGACUUUAGGUCUCCUGAAGGAACGUUGAAGACGACGACGUUGAUAGGCCGGGUGUGUAAGCGCAGCGAUGCGUUGAGCUAACCGGUACUAAUGAACCGUGAGGCUUAACCUUACA
rnacentral:rRNA from 2 species